CAGCAGCCGCGGGAAUACGUAGGGUGCUAGCGUUAAUCGGAAUUACUGGGCGUAAAGCGUGCGCAGGCGGUUGUGUAAGACAGGUGUGAAAUCCCCGGGCUUAACCUGGGAACUGCGCUUGUGACUGCACAGCUAGAGUAUGGCAGAGGGGGGUGGAAUUCCACGUGUAGCAGUGAAAUGCGUAGAGAUGUGGAGGAACACCGAUGGCGAAGGCAGCCCCCUGGGCCAAUACUGACGCUCAUGCACGAAAGCGUGGGGAGCAAACAGGAUUAGAUACCCCCGUAGUCCCUGUCUCUUAUAC
rnacentral:rRNA from 1 species